rnacentral:rRNA from 1 species
UAAUCGAUGGGGGGACGCAGUAGGAUAGGCGAAGCGUGCGAUUGGAUUGCACGUCUAAGCAGUAAGGCUGAGUAUUAGGCAAAUCCGGUACUCGUUAAGGCUGAGCUGUGAUGGGGAGAAGACAUUGUGUCUUCGAGUCGUUGAUUUCACACUGCCGAGAAAAGCCUCUAGAUAGAAAAUAGGUGCCCGUACCGCAAACCGACACAGGUAGUCAAGAUGAGAAUUCUAAGGUGAGCGAGCGAACUCUCGUUAAGGAACUCGGCAAAAUGACCCCGUAACUUCGGGAGAAGGGGUGCUCUUUAGGGUUAACGCCCAGAAGAGCCGCAGUGAAUAGGCCCAAGCGACUGUUUAUCAAAAACACAGGUCUCUGCUAA